CCUACGGGUGGCUGCAGUCGAGGAUCUUCGGCAAUGCGCGCAAGCGCGACCGAGCGACGCCGCGUGUGCGACGAAGGCCUUCGGGUUGUAAAGCACUGUCGAGGGGGAGGCCAUCCCUGGAGGAAGCUCGGGCUAAGUUCGUGCCAGCAGCCGCGGUAAGACGAACCGAGCGAACGUUGUUCGGAAUCACUGGGCUUAAAGGGCGCGUAGGCGGGCUGCCGCGUCCGGGGUGAAAUCCUCCGGCUCAACCGGGGAAGGGCCUCGGGUACGGGCGGCCUCGAGGGGGGUAGGGGCGUGCGGAACUGUGGGUGGAGCGGUGAAAUGCGUUGAUAUCCACAGGAACUCCGGUGGCGAAGGCGGCACGCUGGACCCCCUGACGCUGAGGCGCGAAAGCCAGGGGAGCGAACGGGAUUAGAUACCCUUGUAGUC
rnacentral:rRNA from 1 species